rnacentral:rRNA from 1 species
GACAGAGGUUGCAAACGUUGUUCGGAAUUACUGGGCAUAAAGCGCACGUAGGCGGUUCGUUAAGUCAUGUGUGAAAUCCCUCGGCUCAACCGAGGAAUUGCGCCUGAUACUGGCGAGCUAGAGAUCGAUAGGGGUGAGUGGAACUCCAGGUGGAGCGGUGAAAUGCGUAGAUAUCUGGAGGAACACCGGUGGCGAAGGCGGGUCUCUGGGCCGAUACUGACGGCUGAGGAGCGAAAGCGUGGGGAGCGAACAGG